UACGUAGGUGGCAAGCGUUUGUCCGGAUUUACUGGGCGUAAAGGGCUUGUAGGCGGUUCGUUAAGUCUGGUGUGAAAUCUCCCGGCUCAACCGGGAGGGGUCAUCGGAUACUGGCGGACUAGAGACAGGUAGAGGAAAGCAGAAUUCCCGGUGUAGCGGUGAAAUGCGUAGAUAUCGGGAGGAAUACCAGUGGCGAAGGCGGCUUUCUGGGCCUGUUCUGACGCUGAGGAGCGAAAGCGUGGGGAGCAAACCGGG
rnacentral:rRNA from 1 species